rnacentral:rRNA from 1 species
UUCCCCCUUCGGGGGGACAGGGUGACAGGUGGUGCAUGGUUGUCGUCAGCUCGUGUCGUGAGAUGUGGUAAUCCCGCAACGAGCGCAACCCUCGACCUUAGUUGCCAGCAUUCAGUUGGGCGACUCUAAGGUGACUGCCGGCUAAAAGUCGGAGGAAGGUGGGGAUGACGUCAAAUCAUCAUGCCCCUUAUGACCUGGGCUACACACGUGCUACAAUGGGCGGUACAAAGGGUCGCGAACCCGCGAGGGGGAGCCAAUCCCGAAAAGCCGCUCUCAGUUCGGAUUGCAGGCUGCAACUCGCCUGCAUGAAGCCGGAAUCGCUAGUAAUCGCGGAUCAGCAUGCCGCGGUGAAUACGUUCCCGGGCCUU